GCGCGAAACCUCCGCAAUGCGAGCAAUCGCGACGGGGGGACCCCAAGUGCUACUCUUAACGGGGUAGCUUUUCUAAAGUGUAAAAAGCUUCAGGAAUAAGGGCUGGGCAAGACCGGUGCCAGCCGCCGCGGUAACACCGGCAGCUCAAGUGGCGGCCGCUUUUAUUGGGCCUAAAGCGUUCGUAGCCGGCCUGAUAAGUCCCUGGUGUAAUCCCGCAGCUUAACUGUGGGAAUUGCUGGAGAUACUAUCAGGCUUGAGGCCGGGAGAGGCUGGAGGAACUCCCAGGGUAGGGGUGAAAUCCUAUAAUCCUGGGAGGACCACCUGUGGCGAAGGCGUCCAGCUGGAACGGACCUGACGGUGAGUAACGAAAGCCAGGGGCGCGAACCG
rnacentral:rRNA from 1 species